GACGUAGGGCGCGAGCGUUGUCCGGAUUUAUUGGGCGUAAAGAGCUCGUAGGCGGCUUGUCGCGUCGUCCGUGAAAACUUGGGGCUCAACCCCAAGCUUGCGGUCGAUACGGGCAGGCUAGAGUUCGGUAGGGGAGACUGGAAUUCCUGGUGUAGCGGUGAAAUGCGCAGAUAUCAGGAGGAACACCAGUGGCGAAGGCGGUUCUCUGGGCAUGUCCUGACGCUGAGGAGCGAAAGUGUGGGGAGCGAACAGG
rnacentral:rRNA from 1 species